UUUUUUUAAACUGGACAGGACAGGAUACAGAACAUAACCAGAUUUUGUUUCUGACUAAUUUUCUAAAACAUAUGUUGAUGAGGUUUUUGUGUUCAUUUUAUAGAAGUUGCUAAGAGAAGGUGUUUCGAUGCUUCUUUUGCAUCACCAAGACUGACAUCUGGAGGAUAAAGCCAAGAGCUGCAAGUGUUUCAGACUUCUUUUCUUCUUGGAAUUCUGAGGAAUUUGCUUUUUGGAAACACUAAUGAACCCCUUGCGUGUCCUUUGCGUGCCCUUUUCACACCUCCCUGCGCGCGCCGACCCAUUUUUUCUAGGUGACGCACGCGACGCAAGCCAUUGGUCCGCUAACUACGUCCUUUACGGAGUCUCACAUUUCCGUUUUCAUAGCACAAUACCGCCAUUAUUAAAACGAAUAAUGUUUUACGAGAGAACGGAGCAGAUUGAAGAACUUUUGUCGGAAGAAAUGCAAACUCUACGUCUGCCGUCGCUGGCAGUUAUCGACCUGCUGCUCAACAAACACCGUGAGCAGAAGGACAUGCUGAAGCUUGUGGACCAGGACUACGCUGCUCUAGUUCACAACUCCUGCACAGACCCCAACAGCAUGCUCCACCCGACAACAAAACUACAUGUUCUACAAUAUGUAAAGCACCUCAGCAAAUUGUUGAACACCAGUUCCUCUUUAAACGUCAGUCCAGAAAAACUGCAAGAGAGGCAGAAACUCUGUCACUCUCUGACAGAGGCGAGUGAGACUACUAGUGUGCAGGUUGUUACGAUGUCUGUUGCAUUUGUUCACCCACCUCCACCUGUUCAGAUGCUGACACAAGCUUCUAUUGAGAAGAUUGUACCCAACAUCAUGGAAAAGCAGCAGCAACAUAAACAGGAACAACAACAACAACCGGGGCAAAAGAAGGGCUGCACGAAAGACAAAGUUCUUUCAGCUAGAACUGGAUGCCACACAGAAAAGUUCCAUCUAGCAUUUUAAGUCCAAUUAUUUGUAAUAUUCAUGUUGUAAUUAGUUUAUAUAUUGGUUUCUUGCAUUUGUGACUUUGUACAUUGAAAUAUUAUCAUUUUAUUCUUUAUAUUUGGUUUUAAUAUUCAUUAGUUUAAUUAUUUAGAUGUCUUUAUUUCUGUAACAUUUUUGUUUGUAUAGGACUAUACAAAUCGGUUGAUGUAUCUGUGUUCAACAUUUA
ensembl:lncRNA